UUAACACAUGCAAGUCGAGCGGGCGUAGCAAUACGUCAGCGGCAGACGGGUGAGUAACGCGUGGGAACAUACCUUUUGGUUCGGAACAACACAGGGAAACUUGUGCUAAUACCGGAUAAGCCCUUACGGGGAAAGAUUUAUCGCCGAAAGAUUGGCCCGCGUCUGAUUAGCUAGUUGGUGAGGUAACGGCUCACCAAGGCGACGAUCAGUAGCUGGUCUGAGAGGAUGAUCAGCCACAUUGGGACUGAGACACGGCCCAAACUCCUACGGGAGGCAGCAGUGGGGAAUAUUGGACAAUGGGCGCAAGCCUGAUCCAGCCAUGCCGCGUGAGUGAUGAAGGCCCUAGGGUUGUAAAGCUCUUUUGUGCGGGAAGAUAAUGACGGUACCGCAAGAAUAAG
rnacentral:rRNA from 1 species